rnacentral:rRNA from 1 species
UACGUAGGGAGCAAGCGUUGUCCGGAUUUACUGGGUGUAAAGGGUGCGUAGGCGGCUUAGCAAGUCAGGCGUGAAAACUAUGGGCUUAACCCAUAGACUGCGUUUGAAACUGUUGAGCUUGAGUGAAGUAGAGGUAGGCGGAAUUCCCGGUGUAGCGGUGAAAUGCGUAGAGAUCGGGAGGAACACCAGUGGCGAAGGCGGCCUACUGGGCUUUAACUGACGCUGAGGCACGAAAGCAUGGGUAGCAAACAGG